CCACAUUUAUACGAUAGUUCAUCAGCAACAGAAUACACUCGUCUUCAGUUGCUAUUGUGAUAUGAAUAUCACGCGACCCGACUCUACUAAUAUCACCCGACUCUACUACCCCCUGUUGCGUGAGCGGUGUAUUGCAUACACGCAUCACCCGUGAUGCUUGCAUUCACUGUUUAGUCUAUGAAAGGGAGCGCGUAGCUCGCGUUUCUCGCGUUGACUAUGAAACGGCCCUAAAAAUCUCAAAGGGUUCACAGAACAGCACUAUUUAGUAAAGAAAUGUGGCUCUGUAGUGGACACCUGUGAGGCAGUGUACAAACAGCUGCUGAUGCUGGCUGACAAUAAACAGACCUCUCUGGACGUACCCCAUCUUUUGCAGAGAAAUUCUAACAUUGCCCUUCCUGUAACAUGAUGAUCCUGCUGUCCUGGACUGUAUAUGAUGAGCCUACACAAUCUCAGAACAGCUGUGGUAAUAACAGAGGACCCAUUUGGUGAGAGCAGCACUACAGUCUUUCCUGAUGGUGAGGAGCUUCUUGCUGAUGAACCUGCAGACAUGAGUUCACCUUACUAUGAGAGGAGAUCAUGGACCAUUUUCACAAGACUGAUGAUGUGUUUCAGCUGUGUUUUCAUCGUAAAUCCUCACAAUGUUUGUAAAUUUUGAUUUAAAAAAAAUUAUGUGCAUUUAUAACACUAUACUUUGUAUUAUAUCACAUUCGUAUUAAAUUACAGAAAAAAAUAGUUAAUGCUAAUGCAAGGGUGUUUCUAGUCCAAGAGUCUUUGGGAGGGAUGCUAAAUUUGACAUUGUUCUUUCUUCUGACUGCUGUUAAUCAGUCAGAUUUUUCCUUUGAUUGAAAGUUGUGAAAAUGCUAUUGUAGAGUUUUUCAUUUUGCUAUUUGAGUAAAUAAGAAUGCAAAAAUAUAUUUUUGAUACUGUCCCAUUCACUGCUCUAGAAGUUAACCCAACUAUAACAACUUAUGCUGCUGAGAAACUGGUUUAUUAAGCUAAAUACAUCUAUCUUGAGGCUUAUCAAUUUCUUAAAAUAUCCUGUGUGAAUUCUCCCAAUCAGUUACCACUAUUAGAACGGGAAAUAAAAUGUUGCUAUU